rnacentral:rRNA from 1 species
UGGCGGCAGGCCUAAGACAUGCAAGUCGUACGCGAACGACCUUUCGGGGUUAAGUAGAGUGGCGAACGGGUUAGUAACGCGUGGGAACAUACACAGCACAGGGGGAUAACCAUUGGAAACGAUGGCUAAUACCGCAUACGCCCUAUUGGGGAAAGAUUUAUCGGUGUUGGAUUGGCCCGCGUUAGAUUAGCUAGUUGGUGGGGUAAUGGCUCACCAAGGCGACGAUUUAUAGCUGGUUUGAGAGGAUGAUCAGCAACACUGGAACUGAGACACGGUCCAGACUCCUACGGGAGGCAGCAGUCGGGAAUAUUGUGCAAUGGGGGCAACCCUGACACAGCCAUGCCGCGUGAGUGAAGAAGGCCUUAGGGUUGUAAAGCUCUUUCAGAUGUGAGGAUGAUGACGAUAGCAUCAGAAGAAGCUCCGGCUAACUUCGUGCCAGCAGCCGCGGUAAUACGAAGGGAGCUAGCGUUGUUCGGAAUUACUGGGCGUAAAGGGCGUGUAGGCGGAUUAUCAAGUUAGGGGUGAAAUCCCGGGGCUC